GGACAUGACGUGUGGCUGUCGUAAAAACCCUAUUUGUAAACAACCAGUCCUUUUAACUCGGGGCUGCGUCAUAAACACGGAGCGCUUGGAAGACCACGAUGUCAUCUUCCUUCUGUCAGGAGGAUCAAAGUGAAGCUACAGGAGUUUCAUUAACGUCAACAACUUGGACUGAACACUUUGUUUUGCUUGAUGAAGAGCAGGAAGGGCAGCCUGGAGAGAAAGAGAAGCCGGGUUGAGCCCACUACCAUCAUCCACGUACCAUGAGGAAGAUGAGGGAGAGAAAUGAUCCUACCAUUAAAGAGACUGUGAAAAGAACGUUGAGAACAUCACCACUCUACAGGAAGACACAGUCCAGUAAUGGGUGUCAGAAGUUCAGUAGUGAACGACAGAAACAAACAAUCCAAAUUACCUGCAGAAAGCCCUUGAUGGACGCUUCAGCUGCAUCGUCAGACUGGCAGUACUGAUGCAUUUACUGAGACGGGACGUGAGGGCCUACUCUUCGUGCUCAGAGUUCAAGCCAAGCAGGCUGCAGCGGGCCUGACAUAUUCUGGAACAGCAGCACAGUCUUUGGAUGACUCCUCUGAAGAUGAAAACAUGGCGAGUUCUUCUCAAGAGAAGCAGUACAGGUGUGCCUCAGCUCCACGGUCCCUCCUGCAGCCUCCGCUCCUGAUGCUAACCUCAUGUCUCCAUCACACCAAGCAGCAGACCUG